AAGACACGCCCCGCAAGCUGCUUUCCACGAUUAUGUAUUGUUUCACCUCGCCCCAGCGCUGCCAACAGAGCCCGCAGUUCGUGCACUGUGCCCACUGCCGGGACAGCCCUGAGCCCCCAGCAACGCUGCCGAGAGCGCCAUGGGGCACUCCAAUGGGCGUCUCACGGAAGGAGAGUCAGACAAAGGGGGGUACUGAGGCUGCUCGUUCCGCUGCCUCGCGUGGGGUCGAGCCCAAUUUUUUGGAGCAUCACGUGGGCGGCCCAACAGCACCACAGCCUCACGUGCGGCUCCGGGACAGCGUUUCGAGGCAGCCCCGAUCCCCCGUGUCCCACCGGGCCCCCCCGGCCACGGGCUGCUGGGCUCUGCCAGGAACAGCAGGGCCUUGUUAGCACAACGGGAACGUGGGGGGAACGGGGUGUGGGCCCCAGGACGAGCCUUCAGGCUCCUGAGGGGAAGGGAGGCUGGGCUGCCGGCUGUUGCUACGAGCCCCAGCCGGACCCGUCUCGCUGCACCCCGCGCCGCUACCCGCCCUGCCGCCAGGGGGCGCCCGCGGUGCCGCCCCGCUCCGUCAGGCGACCCCGAGGCCCCGCCCUGGCAGCGCUCCCCAAAAGUUGCUCCCUGCCCUCAGCCGCUCCCGGUUCCCUCGGGGCUCCCUCAGCCCACCGCUGGGGUGCUCUCUCCCGCGGCGCAGCAGCCAUCCCCCGGAGCCCUGUAGGCAAACCCCUGCCCUCAGCAGCCCCUACCCCCCAGCCCUGGCACCGGGGGCUUUGUAUAGAACCCAUUCAAAACACGCAUAACCUUCCGCCGCGGAGGGGGGGGAGGGGGAAAGUAGUCCCUCCGCACUCUCCUCCCGGGCCGAGCCGGCGGCGGCCCCGCGGCCUGUGGCGUUCCUCGAGGGUCGGGCAGUGCGGCGAGCAGCCCGCCCGUGCCCCCGCCGCGCUCCGUGAGGAGCCCUCAGCUGAGAGGCAGUUCCGGGCGGAGAGAUCUCGCACGGCGCCCGGCACGGCGCUACGCCUCCACCUAACCUCACAAACGGAAGCGCCGGGCCUUGGCGAUGGACGGCGGGCGACAGCCAAUGAGAGAACGGGAUGGCCUCCCAAAAUGUAG
rnacentral:lncRNA from 1 species